CCUGCGCGCUAGUCUUUCCUGUAGUCUCGUCAGAGAUAUCGCGAUUUUGAGAAAUGUCUCAUGGGAAGUGUAGUUCAAAACAACCGUCACGGGGAGAAGGUUGAUUCUUCACCUCAGCGCUACAGUAGAACCAGGUUCCAAAUGCAGGCUAUGUCUUACGAGCAAUGACAUCUCAGUUUCUGUCAAAUACAAAAGCAUGUAAGAAUAAUUCCCUGGAAGAAUGCAUCAUGAAAAUCCCAGACAGUGGUUUGACUGCGAGUUACAGUUCUGUUAUAGUGUGGAUGUUGAAUGUCCUCCAAAGACCUGUAUGUUAAAAGUUUAGGAGCUAAGCAGUUGGCACCACCUCCCAUCCACCAUGAUGUGCUGCCUUACUAGAGGCCCAAAGCAAAGGCCCAAGUGCCUUUAAUCUCGGACUGGACUCUCCAGAACUGUGAGCCAAAAUAAAACUUUUACCUUUGUAAGAGAAUUAUCUCAGGUGUUUUAUUAUAGUAACAGGAUGCUAACAUAACCACCAUGCUAUGUUUCCCAAAAUAUUCUGCAGUGACAUUGGAACAUUUUUGCAUAACUCCAGUGAUUUCAGUUCAUCCUCCUACAAAGUUCAUCGUGAAAACAUUCAGGAUUUUUUUCUUCGUUGAAGAUUGUCAAUCAAUGCCACAAAUCCUGUUCAGCAAAAAUCUUAGAUCACUGAAUGUAGCUUUAACUUUCUGGAGGAGGAGAAAUGUAACAGUGUAUACUCUAUUUUUUGAGAAUAGAGAUCUUGGAGUUGUAGAUUACUUCUUUGAGUUUACAAUAGUAUUCAGGAAGAAAAGCCAUGCAUUUUACUCACCUGCUCUGCAGAGCUGUUGCCUUUAGUAAAACUGUUACUAUUUUAAACCAGAUGUGGUGGUACACACCUAUAAUCCCAGCACUCUGGGAGGUUUAGGAAGAUGGAAAAUUCAAGCCCAGCCUGGGCAAUUUAGCAUUUUAGGGAAAUCCUGGGGAUGUAGCUCAGUAUGAAAGCCCUGAGUUCAAUCCCUAGUCACACACACACACACACACGCGCGCGCACGCACGCACACACACACACAGAAUUUAGAAAAAUAAAAAUAAACAAAUUUGAAGACUAUGUAAUGUUCUCUGGCCCUUAUCUAUUUCCUGGACAUGUCUUUCUGUUCCCAGAAAUCUGUCUUCUCACAACUGUUGCAUAACCUUUCUUGUGGUGAUAUUUGUUCCCUCUGCCUUGAAAUUCCC
ensembl:lncRNA